rnacentral:rRNA from 1 species
CCAUGCAGUUUAAGUAUCAGUUUUGGCAAAACUGCGAAUAGCUCAUUAUAACUGUUACAAAUGGAUCUCAUGAAAAAUAAUAUGGAUACUGGUGGUAACUCUACUAAUAAUACAUGUUGUUAUAUCUUGAUUACUCUCCUGAGUCAUUGUAUGUCAGUGGGAUGUUAUGGUAUUUUUCGCUUGUGCGAUGCGGAGAACUUGUUCCAGACCUAUCAGCUAUAUUGUGUUGGAUAUGGGCUAACAGAGGCAAUUACGGGUGACGGGGGAUUAGGGUUUGAUUCCGGAGAGGGAGCCUUAGAAAUAGCUACCACAUCUAAGGAUGGCAGCAGGCGCGUAAAUUACUCACUUUCGACAUGAAGAGGUAGUUAUUAAUUAUAGUGACAUAGAGCAUUUGUUUUAUGAUUACAAUGAUAUUACUAUAAAAGAUUAUACAAAAUCUAUUGGAGGGCAAGUCUGGUGCCAGCAGCCGCGGUAAUUCCAGCUCCAAAAGUAUAUAUUAAAUUUGUUGCAGUUAAAGGGUUCGUAGUUGAGAUAUUCGUAGUUACGAAGGGAUCGUUUAAAAUUCGUUUAUCGUUACGUGUUUGGUAUAUGAUUGGAAAUAAUCCGUUACCAGUACUUUGAAUUAAUGGAAGUGUUAGCAGCCGGUUUUUUCAUAAACGUACCACCAUGGGAUACUACAGUAGGGUUUGAAUUGAAAGAUUAAAGUCUUACGUUGAGUUAGUAAAGUACACGGGGGUAUAUGGAUUGGCGGGGGAGAGGUGAAAUUUUGAGAUCCCACUAAGACAUUUCAAAUGCGUAAGCUUUUGCCUAGCCGCUUUCUUUCAAUCAAGAACGAAAGUUGGGGUAUCGAAAAUGAUUAGAUACCGUUGUAGUCCCAACCUAUAAACUAUGCUGACUGAUAGUUGUAAAUUAUCUUAAUGUGAUUAUUUCAGUUGUUUUAAAGAAAAUCAAAGUUUUCGAGUCCUGGGGGGAGUAUAGUUGCAAGGCUGAAACUUAAAGGAAUUGACGGAAGGGCACCACCAGGAGUGGAGCUUGCGGCUUAAUUUGAGUCAACACGGGGAAUUUUACCAUGCCAGGACAUGAGGUUGAUUGACAGGAUAAGCGUUCUUUCUUGAUUUUGUGGGUAGUGGUGCAUGGCCGUUCUUAGUCGGUGGGUUGACUUGUCGGGUUAAUUCCCAUAACGGACGAGACCUUAACUUAUUAAUUUGUUUCCGGUUCGUUCUGGAUAUUUGAAACAUUUGAUAGGACAAUACCAGUUCAUGGUAAGGAAGUUUGAGUCUAAAACAGGUCCGUGAUGCCCUUAGAUGGCAUGGGCUGCACGUGUGCUACAAUGACCGGCGCCGAGGGUCUUGCCAUUUUGACAAAUACGGCAAAUCUGGACAAUAUUGAUCGUACUGGGGAUAAUAUGUUGUAAUUUUCAUUUUUGCACCAGGAAUUCCUAGUAAGGGUGCUUCAUAAUAGUAUGUUGAUUACGUCCCUGCCCUUUGUACACACCGCCCGUCGCUUCAACCGAUUGGAUAUUCCGGCGAAUUGCCAUAACAAUGUCUGAGUUUAAGUUGUUGAAGUGGUUGUAAGCCUUAGUAUCUAGAGGAUGAAGAAGU